UGCUGACUAGCUAGCCUAAUCUCAAAAACCAACAAACCAAAAUUAAUAAACCUAAAAACACGAACAACCAACUUAAACAAACCAUUUUCCAUCACCUAAAUUACGGGCGACAGAAAAGGACUACCAGAGCUAUAGAAAAAGUACCGUAAGGGAACGCUGAAAAAAUGACCAAGAUAGCCUAGUGAUAACAUCAAAAUCCCCUUUUAGAGCCCGUACCUUUUGCAUCAUGAUUUAGCCAGCUCGUCCAAGCAAAGGGCAUCUUUAGUUUGGCAACCCCGAAACUAGUGUGAGCUACUUCAAGACAGCCUAAUUAUUUAGGGCAAACCCGUCUCUGUGGCAAAAGAGUGGGAAGAGCUUUGAGUAGUGGUGACAGACCUACCGAACUUAGUUAUAGCUGGUUGCUCGGGAACUGAAUAGAAGUUCAGCCUCACGGCUUCUCCCUUCUUAUCUUGAAGAACCCACAAUUUUGCCUUGACAAAGCAAUGUAGUUCGCGCUUUUUACUAGUGUCUUAUAAGAAAGUGACAGAACGUUAAAGAUCAUAAUUACAGAAGGUAAAAUAUUCGGGUGGGCCUAAAAGCAGCCAUCCCUCCAAUUCUCCCCGACCAUCACACUUCUUACCCUAAUUACAUAUCUCCUGAUAACCACCUCAACAUUCCUUGUCUUCAAACUAAACAAAGCAACAAACAUGAGUAACAAGAGGAUUUAUUUUAUCUGCGCUCCUCUCCCAGCACACGUGUACAUCGAAACGGACCAACCACCGAAAUUUAACGGCCCCAAACAAAGAGGGAACUGGAUAAGAAUUUAAAAUACUAGAAAAACAACCACCCAUAAACCGUUAACCCCACACAGGAAUGCUUCUAGGGAAAGACUAAAAGGAAGAGAAGGAACUCGGCAAACACAACAAAAGCCUCGCCUGUUUACCAAAAACACCGCCUCUUGUAAAAGAAGAAAAAUAAGAGGUCCCGCCUGCCCUGUGACUAUAUGUUUAACGGCCGCGGUAUUUUGACCGUGCGAAGGUAGCGCAAUCACUUGUCUUUUAAAUGGAGACCUGUAUGAAUGGCAAGACGAAGGCUUAACUGUCUCCUUUUCCAAGUCAAUGAAAUUGAUCUACCCGUGCAGAAGCGGGUAUAAUAACAUAAGACGAGAAGACCCUAUGGAGCUUCAGACACUAAAGUAGAUCAUACCCUCUGUAAUUAAACAAAAACAAUGCAAGCCUAAUGAUACCUCCCCUAAUGUCUUUGGUUGGGGCGACCAUGGGGAAACAAAAAACCCCCACAUGGAGUGGGCACACAGUUCCUAUAAACAAGAGCCACAGCUCUAAUUACCAGUAUUUUUGACCAAUAAAGAUCCGGCAAUGCCGAUUAAUGAACCAAGUUACCCUAGGGAUAACAGCGCAAUCCCCUUUAAGAGUCCAUAUCGACAAGGGGGUUUACGACCUCGAUGUUGGAUCAGGACAUCCUAAUGGUGCAGCCGCUAUUAAGGGUUCGUUUGUUCAACGAUUAACAGUCCUACGUGAUCUGAGUUCAGACCGGAGAAAUCCAGGUCGGUUUCUAUCUAUGAAGUGAGCUUUUCUAGUACGAAAGGAUCGAGAAGAGGGGGCCAAUGCUUAAAGCACGCCUCACCCUUACCUAAUGCAGGCAACUAAAUUAGGCAAGAGGGCACGAUCCUCUUCGUCGGAGAAAAACGACAU